rnacentral:rRNA from 1 species
UAAGCGGAGGAAAAGAAACUAACAAGGAUUCCCCUAGUAACUGCGAGUGAAGCGGGAAAGGCUCAAAUUUGGAAUCUGGUGGUCUUUGGCCAUNCGAGUUGUAAUUUAGAGAAGCGUCUUCCGCGCUGGACCGUGCACAAGUCUCCUGGAAUGGAGCGUCAUAGAGGGUGAGAAUCCCGUCUUUGGCAUGGAAUCCCAGGGCUUCUGUGAUGCGCUCUCGACGAGUCGAGUUGUUUGGGAAUGCAGCUCAAAAUGGGUGGUGAACUCCAUCUAAAGCUAAAUAUUGGCGAGAGACCGAUAGCGAACAAGUACCGUGAGGGAAAGAUGAAAAGCACUUUGGAAAGAGAGUGAAACAGUACGUGAAAUUGUUGAAAGGGAAACGCUUGAAGUCAGUCGCGUCGACCGAGACUCAGCCUUGCCUCGGCUUGGUGUACUUCUCGGCUUGACGGGUCAGCAUCGAUUUCAAUCCUCGGAUAAUGGCAAGGGAAAGGUAGCACCUUUUUAGGUGUGUUAUAGUCCUCUGUCGCAUGCGAGGGUCGGGAUCGAGGAACUCAGCACGCACCUCAGGGUGUCGGGGCCUUGGCCCACGUUUACGUGCUUAGGAUGCUGGCGUAAUGGCUUUAAACGACC